UACAGAGGUCCCGAGCGUUGUUCGGAAUCACUGGGCGUAAAGGGUGCGUAGGCGGCGAGGUAAGUCGGAUGUGAAAUCUCCAAGCUCAACUUGGAAAUGGCAUUGGAAACUACCUGGCUAGAGGUUUUGAGGGGGGACUGGAAUUCUCGGUGUAGCAGUGAAAUGCGUAGAUAUCGAGAGGAACACCAGUGGCGAAGGCGGCCUUCUGGCUCAUAACUGACGCUGUAGCGCGAAAGCGUGGGGAGCGAACCGG
rnacentral:rRNA from 1 species